rnacentral:miRNA from 1 species
AUCUGGUAUAAAAACAUAGUGUAUUUCUCUGCCAGAAAGUCGGAAAUACACUAUGUUUUAUACCAGAUGAGC